GUAGUAAGUAUCAGUGGUCACGUGUACGGCAGGUGUGAGGUGUGAGGUGCGGGUGUUCAUUACCGGCGCAGCAGCACUGGCCCAUGUUGUAGAACAGCGCCAGGUGGCUCUGCCUCACGGCGUGCUGCAGGUCACAGUCGGCCAGCACGAUGUUGGUAGUAAGUAUCAGUGGUCACGUGUACGGCAGGUGUGAGGUGCGGGUGUUCAUUACCGGCGCAGCAGCACUGGCCCAUGUUGUAGAACAGCGCCAGGUGGCUCUGCCUCACGGCGUGCUGCAGGUCACAGUCGGCCAGCACGAUGUUGGUAGUAAGUAUCAGUGGUCACGUGUACGGCAGGUGUGAGGUGCGGGUGUUCAUUACCGGCGCAGCAGCACUGGCCCAUGUUGUAGAACAGCGCCAGGUGGCUCUGCCUCACGGCGUGCUGCAGGUCACAGUCGGCCAGCACGAUGUUGGUAGUAAGUAUCAGUGGUCACGUGUACGGCAGGUGUGAGGUGCGGGUGUUCAUUACCGGCGCAGCAGCACUGGCCCAUGUUGUAGAACAGCGCCAGGUGGCUCUGCCUCACGGCGUGCUGCAGGUCACAGUCGGCCAGCACGAUGUUGGUAGUAAGUAUCAGUGGUCACGUGUACGGCAGGUGUGAGGUGCGGGUGUUCAUUACCGGCGCAGCAGCACUGGCCCAUGUUGUAGAACAGCGCCAGGUGGCUCUGCCUCACGGCGUGCUGCAGGUCACAGUCGGCCAGCACGAUGUUGGGCGACUUCCCGCCCAGCUCCAGGGUGAUGCGCUUCACGCUCCCCGCCGCCCCGCGCUGGAUCAACUUGCCCACCUCCGUGGACCCUGGACGGGAACAACAUAGCAGUGGAU